CAGCAGCCGCGGGAAUACGAAGGGUGCAAGCGUUACUCGGAAUUACUGGGCGUAAAGCGUGCGUAGGUGGUGGUUUAAGUCCGUUGUGAAAGCCCUGGGCUCAACCUGGGAAUUGCAGUGGAUACUGGAUCACUAGAGUGUGGUAGAGGAUAGUGGAAUUUCCGGUGUAGCAGUGAAAUGCGUAGAGAUCGGAAGGAACAUCUGUGGCGAAGGCGACUAUCUGGGCCAACACUGACACUGAGGCACGAAAGCGUGGGGAGCAAACAGGAUUAGAUACCCGCGUAGUCCCUGUCUCUUAUAA
rnacentral:rRNA from 1 species